GACGAACGCUGGCGGCGUGCUUAACACAUGCAAGUCGAACGAAGAGCGACGGAAGCUUGCUUCUAUCAAUCUUAGUGGCGAACGGGUGAGUAACGCGUAAUCAACCUGCCCUUCAGAGGGGGACAACAGUUGGAAACGACUGCUAAUACCGCAUACGAUCUAAUCUCGGCAUCGAGGAUGGAUGAAAGGUGGCCUCUACAUGUAAGCUAUCACUGAAGGAGGGGAUUGCGUCUGAUUAGCUAGUUGGAGGGGUAACGGCCCACCAAGGCGAUGAUCAGUAGCCGGUCUGAGAGGAUGAACGGCCACAUUGGGACUGAGACACGGCCCAGACUCCUACGGGAGGCAGCAGUGGGGAAUCUUCCGCAAUGGACGAAAGUCUGACGGAGCAACGCCGCGUGAGUGAUGACGACCUUCGGGUUGUAAAGCUCUGUUAAUCGGGACGAAAGGCCUUCUUGCGAAUAGUGAGAAGGAUUGACGGUACCGGAAUAGAAAGCCACGGCUAACUACGUG
rnacentral:rRNA from 1 species